GGGAUCCAUGACGAGAACGUGUUACGAACCAAGGAUUGUGAUUAAUUCAGUUCUGUUCACCUGAGCUCCAAG
ensembl:snoRNA